AGAUAGAAAACAGCUUCAAGUUUUACCAUUCAAAUUCUUACUGUCUGUCAAUAAGAACAAGUCAUGCAAUUUGAACCACAAAAAAACAUAAACUUAGCUUGGACUGCUCCUUAAAAUGUAUUGAAACAUAUAGUAGAAAAGGACAAUUCAAGGUAAAUGCUCAUUUAGGCUAGAGUUACACUAUACCGGAUUGCUAUCGAGCGGAGCAGAGCGGAGUAACUUUUACUUCGGAGUGAUAUUUAGGGUAGCAGUUACACUACGACGCUCCGCUCGCUCAUAAGCCUGUAUUCCUUUGCAUUUCUGGUACACAAAAUCCACCAGAUUAAAUUUUUUGAUGAUAUUUUCGAAUCUAUGUGCUGUUGCGAAUUCGUUUUCAAUAGCUAUGCAUAAAAUGACGAAAACAAAUAUAAAACUGAGAGAUAAAUGAUAGGGUUCGUAGGACGGAUAGCGAGAUUGUGUUGCUAUCUGAUGUGUUAAAGUAUGUUUUUCGUCCAAGGGCCUUUUCAUUAAAAUUCGGGAAGAGAUUAAAUCCAAAUACGAAAAUGUUUUGACAACUUCAAUUUGGCAUUAUCCAACAGUAACAAAAUCUCAGAAAGCGCCAUUGUUCAUUAUCGACCGAAUUGCUUCAAGCAGAAAACAAUAACAAAAUCCUUUGUUCCAAAGUGGAGCAUAUCGGAUUCGUGCGAUUUCACUAAAACGCUCCGCUACGGAGUGACUCCGGAGCGGAGUGAUUUUCACCCCGCUAAUCGAGCGUUGUGUAUCGGAUUGGUGUGGCGUAGUGUAACUCAAACCCCUAUCCGAUAUGAAAGUUACUCCGCUCCGAUAGCAAUCCGGUAUAGUGUAACUGGCACCUUAAAUUCAGAUAAGUUUUCAAAGGAUAUUUACAAGAAUGCGCAAACACAUUUUACAUGAAUCAAGGGCAUGUGCACAUUUCUCUGCGAUAAUUUUACAGGCAUUUGUUCCAUAUAAGAAGCUGAAAUAGUAGCUUUUUGCAUUUUAAAUAGAUCUUAAUACAUUAUUACGGGCCCCAACUAAGCACAGGACCGAACCAUUUGCCUCUCCUAACCCCUUUGCCCCUCCUAACCCCCAUUCUGCGCCCCGCCCAACGAUGCUUGCAAACGACAGUAGGGCGAUUCAUGACCAUGAUUUAUUGUAGUACAAUGUUUGUUCAUUAAACUUUGAUUGAAGCUCUUUGUUUUAUAAAGUUAAUCUUCCUUAAUCGUUAAAAAAUGUCUUUGAUAUGCAAAUAAAAAUUUUUUAAGCUGAAAGCUGCGUUUAUUGAGCUACCUCUGAACAGUUCUUAGUGACAUAUGACUGCAUUUUCCAGGGCGUUUUGUGUGUUUUCCUGAAUUUCGAUGGAUUCGCAAGAGUCCCGGGUUUUGGUUCUGAUGAUUGCAGAUCAAAACUACAAAUGUCUUUUCAGCUUAUACGAAUUUUCCAGGAAACACAGAUGAAGUUACAUCUGGCCGAACAUGUCUGGAUUACUUUCCGUUGCGGAACCUAAUCAACCAAUCGAAGUGCCCCAAUAUAUUUUGAGCGACCUGCAAACAAAAGAAGACAAUUGGAUUUUACAGACAUGAUGGUUGAAGAACCCCCUCAUGUUGAUCUACCUGGAAAUGAUGCCCUGUCACCAGCAUAUGAUGAACACAGCAGCAAUUCUGGAACAGUAGUCACAAGUGAAGAAAAACUUUUUCCAAAAGAGGCAUCUUCACAAACAAGUGCUGAACUGUCUCAAAUA